rnacentral:tRNA from 2 species
GCCGUUUUAGCUCAGUGGUAGAGCACUUCCAUGGUAAGGAAGGGGUCGCUAGUUCAAUCCUAGUAAACGGCACCA